rnacentral:rRNA from 1 species
ACGUAGGGAGCAAGCGUUAUCCGGAUUUACUGGGUGUAAAGGGCGCGUAGGCGGGAAUGCAAGUCAGAUGUGAAAUCUGGGGGCUCAACCCCCAAACUGCAUUUGAAACUGUAUUUCUUGAGUGAUGGAGAGGCAGGUGGAAUUCCUAGUGUAGCGGUGAAAUGCGUAGAUAUGAGGAGGAACACCAGUGGCGAAGGCGGCUUACUGGACUGUAACUGACGCUGAGGCGCGAAAGCGUGGGGAGCAAACAG